rnacentral:lncRNA from 1 species
AACAAAGCUGGAAAUUCUGUGGGAAGGGCUUAUGGGCCAAGCCUUAUUUUGGACAAAAAUUGGGCCCUUUAAGUUGGAAAUUUUGGAUAAUUUGUGAAAAGCUCUACUUUUCUUUCUGAUUCCAGAUCACCAGAUACAAUACAAGGCCCUGCCUUCCCUCGUUUUCAGCUGCUACUAUAAUCAAACAGGUUGUUGUUUCCAUUUCUUGCCACAGUACACUCCAGAGACCUGGAUUCUUAUGUGACUCUUCGGUUUUUCCUUGCAUGCCAUUGGAUAGAAAAAUUUUGUGGUGGUUUUUUUUUUCUGCUGAAAUUAUUAAUGCUGCUGGUCAGGAUGUGCAAUGCCAAUUCAUCCAUGACAAAAGCAAUAGGGUGAACGCUCAAGGCAGAUUCUUCUGUUGUCCAACUGUGUUUGGACCAAAUUGAAAACUCUAUUUUGGGUCUUGUAUAAUUUGAUGAAGGGAUGAAUUUUGAAAUCUUGUUUUGCAAGAUUCUAUUCUAAUCUUUUUCAAUUCCACUGAUACACCUGGGUUGAAUGUUGAAUUGGUAACUUUAGUUACAAUGCAUAAGUUGCAGAUACAUUAACUACAAGUCGUCAAAUGAGCUUGCAGAAAUUGAUAUUCUAAGGAUUUCUACAUCAGGCUGAAAAAGUGAGCAAAAACUAGAAAAGUUUACUGUUUGAGUGGUUUCAAUUCAAAAUGAUGGUAUCAUGUAUUUUUGGCCAUCCAGCAUUAGCUUUUCGAAUACGCUUUUUAUCUUUUUCUUUUUAGGUUUACUUGCACUCCACCUGCUUCUAUGUUAGAAGUGGAAAAGUGCAGUAGUGCACUUAACCUUUU